rnacentral:rRNA from 1 species
UACGUAGGGGCAAGCGUUAUCCGGAAUUAUUGGGCGUAAAGAGUGCGUAGGUGGUUACCUAAGCGCAAGGUUUAAUCUUGAGGCUCAACCUCAUUCUGCCUUGCGAACUGGGCUACUUGAGUGCAGGAGGGGAAAGCGGAAUUCCUAGUGUAGCGGUGAAAUGCGUAGAUAUUAGGAAGAACACCGGUGGCGAAGGCGGCUUUCUGGACUGUAACUGACACUGAGGCACGAAAGCGUGGGGAGCAAACAGGAUUAGAUACCCCGGUAGUCCCUGAG